rnacentral:rRNA from 1 species
AACGAACGCUGGCGGCAUGCCUAACACAUGCAAGUCGAACGAUACCUUCGGUUCUAGUGGCGCCCGGUUGCGUAACGCGUGGUAACCUGCCCUUAGGUUCGGCAUAACUCCCCGAUAGGGGUACUAAUCCCGGAUAAUGUCUUCGGACCAAGGCUUUCUCGCCUUUGGAUGGGCCCGCGUUGGGUUGGCUAGUUGUUAGGGUAAAAGCCUACCAAGGCGAGGAUCCAUAGCGGGUCUGAGAGGAGGAUCAGCCACACUGGGACUGAGACACGGCCCAGACUCCUAGGGGAGGCAGCAGUGGGGAAUAUUGGACAAUGGGCGAAAGGCUGAUCCAGCAAUGCCGCGUGAGUGAUGAAGGGCUUAGGGUUGUAAAGCUCUUUUACCCGGGAUGAUAAUGACAGUACCGGGAGAAUAAGCACCGGCUAACUCCGUG